rnacentral:tmRNA from 1 species
UUUCGCCCUCGCUGCGUAAGCAGUAAGGACUGAAGCCCCGGGGCAUUGAUCCCGGGCGUCGCCCUCCGUCAAUCCGGCGGACCGAGGAGCGGCGUUACAUAGACCGGAUUGCUACCUCGGGGGUGCCACGGCCCUGAGGUAGGACAGUCACCGCGGCUGGCAGAAGCGGAUCCCGUCGGGAGGAGCCGCCAAGCGAGAUCAAAUUCCCGGACACGCUCGUAGAGAUCUCGGAGGACACUGCUUCGGACGCGGGUUCAACUCCCGCCGCCUCCACCA